GUGCCAGCCGCCGCGGUAAUACGGAAGGUGCGAGCGUUAAUCGGAAUUACUGGGCGUAAAGCGCGCGUAGGCGGUUGAGUAAGUCGGAUGUGAAAGCCCUGGGCUUAACCUGGGAAUUGCAUUCGAAACUGCUCAACUAGAGUAUGGAAGAGGAAGGCGGAAUUCCCGGUGUAGCGGUGACAUGCGUAGAUAUCGGGAGGAACACCAGUGGCGAAGGCGGCUUUCUGGUCCAAUACUGACGCUGAGGUGCGAAAGCGUGGGGAGCAAACAGGAUUAGAAACCCUAGUAGUCC
rnacentral:rRNA from 1 species